GAUGAACGCUGGCGGCGUGCCUAAUACAUGCAAGUCGAGCGAACAGACGAGGAGCUUGCUCCUCUGACGUUAGCGGCGGACGGGUGAGUAACACGUGGAUAACCUACCUAUAAGACUUGGAUAACUUCGGGAAACCGGAGCUAAUACCGGAUAAUAUAUUUAACUGAAUGGUUCAAUAGUGAAAGACGGUUUUGCUGUCACUUAUAGAUUGAUCCGCGCCGCAUUAGCUAGUUGGUAAGGUAACGGCUUACCAAGGCAACGAUGCGUAGCCGACCUGAGAGGGUGAUCGGCCACACUGGAACUGAGACACGGUCCAGACUCCUACGGGAGGCAGCAGUAGGGAAUCUUCCGCAAUGGGCGAAAGCCUGACGGAGCAACGCCGCGUGAGUGAUGAAGGUCUUCGGAUCGUAAAACUCUGUUAUUAGGGAAGAACAAAUGUGUAAGUAACUAUGCACGUCUUGACGGUACCUAAUCAGAAAGCCACGGCUAACUACG
rnacentral:rRNA from 1 species